UUCAGCUAAUCCACAAAUACACAACCCAAUUAGCGAGUAGUUGAAAUAACGAACUCCUAAAAGACCUGGUACCGCGUGUCACGUAAGGCGGGGAGUUUGUAUAAAGCUCGAACGUUGGCCAAAUUUUUUACUGUUUAGUGGCAUCUGUACAAAGCCUGUGUUUCAAGAUGAAGGGAGUUCUCAUCGUUGCCAUGGUUCUGACCGUAACUCUACUUACCUGUGAUCAAGCCGCAGGGAUCCAGAUUCUCUGGCCGCCUUACGCCAAACGUGGCGCGGAGCAACAGGACAUUUCAAAUGUUCGAAGCUCCAUUUGUUUGCUGGCCGAGAAAGCACAGUGCGUUGGUCAGUUAUCACGUAACAACCGCAGAUGAACAGCAUCAUGACGUCAACCAUAUCACCAUGACAACCACAGCGAGCAGAAAUAAACGAGAGAUUUUUCGCAGAACAGCUAGUUUAAACAUGUAACUGAAAAACCUCCUUAUUAAAAGAGGAAUAAAAAUCAUAUGCCAUCA